rnacentral:rRNA from 1 species
GAUGAACGCUGGCGGCGUGCCUAAUACAUGCAAGUCGAGCGAACAGACGAGGAGCUUGCUCCUCUGACGUUAGCGGCGGACGGGUGAGUAACACGUGGAUAACCUACCUAUAUGACUGGGAUAACUUCGGGAAACCGGAGCUAAUACCGGAUAAUAUAUUGAACCGCAUGGUUCAAUAGUGAAAGACGGUUUUGCUGUCACUUAUAGAUGGAUCCGCGCCGCAUUAGCUAGUUGGUAAGGUAACGGCUUACCAAGGCAACGAUGCGUAGCCGACCUGAGAGGAUGAUCAGCCACACUGGAACUGAGACACGGUCCAGACUCCUACGGGAGGCAGCAGUAGGGAAUCUUCCGCAAUGGGCGAAAGCCUGACGGAGCAACGCCGCGUGGGUGAUGAAGGUCUUCGGAUCGUAAAACUCUGUUAUUAGGGAAGAACAAAUGUGUAAGUAACUAUGCACGUCUUGACGGUACCUAAUCAGAAAGCCACGGCUAACUACGUG